rnacentral:lncRNA from 1 species
ACGCGACGUCUUACCGAGCACACUUAUCUUUAACCCAUAGGUAGCCGAGCUACGAAGACUCUAAUUCUCAUACUCAGAUGAGAUACGUAGGCAGUGGAUGCGACAUCCUUGCGAGUCAUUUUCUUUUAACCUUGCUUUUAGUAAAUAGUACUUUAGUAAAUAGUACUUCUCCUCCCCCUAAAUCUGUGCAACAAUCAACAAAAUUACUAGUUAUGGAUGCAACUAGUAAGACACACAAAUGCACAAUGCACCAGGGUACUUCUUCUCCCCC